ACUCUGCAGUGUCAGAAUCUUAUGAAAGUAGUUUUUCAUACCGCGGACUAAGUUCGUGCUUUAUCAUGUUGUGCCAGAGGGGCAAAAGUACUGCAUGAUGGAGUAUGCCUUCACAACAUCAUGCUGUGGGACAUAGAUCUUGUCACCAGCUUGGCUUUGGUCUCUGCUGAUAACAUUUAUCUCCACCCUAAUCAUUUCGAA